rfam:Triticum aestivum genome assembly, contig: Triticum_aestivum_CS42_TGACv1_scaffold_132855_2BL
GUAGUAUUCCCUCCAUCCCAAAAUUCUUGUCUUACAUUUGUAUAGAUACGGAUGUAUCUAAUACUAAAAUGUAACUAGAUACAUCCGUAUUUUGACAAAUUUAGACAAGAAUUUUGGGAUGGAGGGAGUACAAA